UACGGGGGGUGCGAGCGUUGUCCGGAAUCACUGGGCGUAAAGGGCGCGUAGGCGGCUGAUCAAGUCGAGGGUGAAAGCCCGUGGCUCAACCACGGAAUGGCCUUCGAUACUGGUUGGCUUGAGACCGGAAGAGGACAGCGGAACCGCGAGUGUAGAGGUGAAAUUCGUAGAUAUUCGCAAGAACACCAGUGGCGAAGGCGGCUCACUGGCCCGGUACUGACGCUGAGGUGCGAAAGCGUGGGGAGCAAACAGG
rnacentral:rRNA from 1 species